rnacentral:rRNA from 1 species
GAUGAACGCUGGCGGCGUGCCUAACACAUGCAAGUCGAGCGAUUCUCUUCGGAGAAGAGCGGCGGACGGGUGAGUAACGCGUGGGUAACCUGCCCUGUACACACGGAUAACAUACCGAAAGGUAUGCUAAUACGAGAUAAUAUGCUUUUAUCGCAUGGUAGAAGUAUCAAAGCUUUUGCGGUACAGGAUGGACCCGCGUCUGAUUAGCUAGUUGGUAAGGUAACGGCUUACCAAGGCGACGAUCAGUAGCCGACCUGAGAGGGUGAUCGGCCACAUUGGAACUGGGACACGGUCCAAACUCCUACGGGAGGAAGCAGUGGGGAAUAUUGCACAAUGGGCGAAAGCCUGAUGCAGCAACGCCGCGUGAGCGAUGAAGGCCUUCGGGUCGUAAAGCUCUGUCCUCAAGGAAGAUAAUGACGGUACUUGAGGAGGAAGCCCCGGCUAACUACGUGCCAGCCGCCGCCGUAA